UACAGAGGUCUCAAGCGUUGUUCGGAUUCAUUGGGCGUAAAGGGUGCGUAGGUGGCGCGCUAAGUCAGGUGUGAAAUCUCGGAGCUUAACUCCGAAACUGCAUUUGAUACUGGCGUGCUUGAGGACUGGAGAGGAGACUGGAAUUCACGGUGUAGCAGUGAAAUGCGUAGAUAUCGGGAGGAACACCAGUGGCGAAGGCGACUUCCUGGCCUGUUCUUGACGCUGAGGCGCGAAAGCUAGGGGAGCAAACGGGG
rnacentral:rRNA from 1 species